rnacentral:lncRNA from 1 species
GGGACACUACCCCACAGCUCCUAUGGGUGCCUAGCGUAGAACUACUACCCCACGGCACACCCCCUUAUACUCUAUAUGAUCACCCAAUCCCAUACUUAUACUUAACGUCAUUCACUUAUCCAUUCACAUCACGUCUCAACAUCUUAUCAUCACUUUCUUGACAACCCUAGCAUGCCUACGACCUCAUCACAACAACCAUACUACCUUUUAUAACAACUAGAUCAAUCACAUAUCACAUCACACUUACACACAAGUUCUAG